rnacentral:piRNA from 1 species
CAGGAACUAGUGGUGAUAAAUGUGG